CAAUAGCGUAUAUUAAAGUUGUUGCGGUUAAAAAGCUCGUAGUUGGAUUUCUGCCUGAGGCAGCCGGUCCGCACUUAGUGCGUGUAUCUGGUUUGGUUUGGGCAUCCUCUUGGGAGUCGUUGCUGUGCUUAGUUGCAUGGUGCGGAAUUCAAGACGUUUACUUUGAGGAAAUUAGAGUGGUUACGGCAAGCUAUCGCUUUGAAUACAUUAGCAUGGAAUAAUAAUAUAGGGCGUAAGUUCUAUCUUGUUGGUUUCUAGAACAUACGCAAUGAUUAAUAGGGACAAUUGGGGCAUUCGGUAUUAGACUGAUCAGAGGUGGAAUUGCUUGGGAAUUUUGGUCUUACGUACGAACUACUGCGAAGACAUUUGCCAAGGAUGUUUUCAUUGAUCAAGAACGAAAGUAUGGGGAUCGAAGAUGAUUAGAUACCA
rnacentral:rRNA from 1 species